rnacentral:ncRNA from 1 species
CAAUAGAUAUGGCAAAUUUUAUGAAAGUAAAAGACGCAAAGCCACGGGUCUAAAGUGAUAUCCAAUCACCAUGACAGCCGGGUUGCCAAG